rnacentral:rRNA from 1 species
AUUAGAUACCCUGGUAGUCCACGCCGUAAACGAUGAUUACUAGGUGUCGGUGGGUAUGGACCCACCGGUGCCGCAGCAAACGCAGUAAGUAAUCCACCUGGGGAGUACGUUCGCAAGAAUGAAACUCAAAGGAAUUGACGGGGACCCGCACAAGCGGUGGAGCAUGUGGUUUAAUCCGAAGCAACGCGAAGAACCUUACCAAGUCUUGACAUCCCAUUGACGUAUGGGUAAUGCCAUAUUCCCUUCGGGGCAAUGGAGACAGGUGGUGCAUGGUUGUCGUCAGCUCGUGUCGUGAGAUGUUGGGUUAAGUCCCGCAACGAGCGCAACCCUUAUCCUCAGUAGCCAGCAGGUAAAGCCGGGCACUCUGGGGAGACUGCCGGGGAUAACCCGGAGGAAGGUGGGGAUGACGUCAAAUCAUCAUGCCCCUUAUGAUUUGGGCUACACACGUGCUACAAUGGCGUAAACAGAGGGAAGCGAACCCGCGAGGGGGAGCAAAUCCAGAAAUAACGUCCCAGUUCGGAUUGUAGUCUGCAACCCGGCUACAUGAAGCUGGAAUCGCUAGUAAUCGCGGAUCAGAAUGCCGCGGUGAAUACGUUCCCGGGUCUUGUACACACCGCCCGUCACACCAUGGGAGUCGGAAAUGCCCGAAGUCUGUGACCCAACCUCAGGGAGGGAGCAGCCGAAGGCAGGUCGGAUGACUGGGGUGAAGUCGUAACAAGGUAAC